rnacentral:lncRNA from 1 species
GCCAGAGUGGCCCGCCUGUCCUCCGGCACAGCCAGAGUCGCCCGCCAGCCGGGCGCAACCAGAGUCGCCCGCCAGCCAGGCGCAACCAGGGUCGCCCACCAGUCCUCCGGCGCGGCCAGGGGCGCAACCUAAGUGGGCCACGCCAAGGGUGCAGCGGAGGCCACGUCCCGCACCUGAUCCACCUCCAGGUUAGGUAUCGCCCAUCUUCUCCACUUAUCCCCUGGGUAUUUAUACCUGUGUUUUCUGUCUGCUGCCAGGUCGUCUUGUUUGUUCAAGCCUUCCACAGUUUUGUUUCUCAGCUCCUGCCUUUUCCGGUUUUUAUUUUCUCGCCCUCCUGGUUUUGACGCACGCCUGCCUGACCACUCUGCCUGUCCCUGAGCCCGCCUACCGUCCUGUACCUUUGCCACUACUGUGGAUUAUCAACCCCUGCCUGCCUUGACCUGUCGUUUGCCUGCCCCUG